rnacentral:lncRNA from 1 species
GGAAAUGAUGUCUGAUGACAAUGGUUGGACCAACAUCCAGCUGGACAUCUUUUCUACCAAAUCAGGUCUACUGGAAACAGACACUUGGACAAGAGGAGCAGAAGGCAACAUAAAGCAGCUACAAGAAUUAAUUCACGGAGAUAGUUGACAUUUUCGAGCUGACUACCUCUUAGAGAAAAUGAUGUCAUUCUCCAGCAGCCUAAUGACAGUCAUCAGCCUGAGAGGAC